rnacentral:rRNA from 1 species
ACACAUGCAAGUCGAACGGAAUUUACAUGAAGCCUAGCGAUUGUAAAUUUAGUGGCGGACGGGUGAGUAACGCGUGGGUAACCUGCCUUGUACUGGGGGACAACAGUUGGAAACGACUGCUAAUACCGCAUAAGCGCACAGCUUCGCAUGAAGCAGUGUGAAAAACUCCGGUGGUACAAGAUGGACCCGCGUCUGAUUAGCUGGUUGGUGAGGUAACGGCCCACCAAGGCGACGAUCAGUAGCCGGCCUGAGAGGGUGAACGGCCACAUUGGGACUGAGACACGGCCCAAACUCCUACGGGAGGCAGCAGUGGGGAAUAUUGCACAAUGGGGGAAACCCUGAUGCAGCAACGCCGCGUGAGUGAAGAAGUAUUUCGGUAUGUAAAGCUCUAUCAGCAGGAAAGAAAAUGACGGUACCUGACUAAGAAGCCCCGGCUAACUACGUGCCAGCAGCCGCGGUAAUACGUAGGGGGCAAGCGUUAUCCGGAUUUACUGGGUGUAAAGGGAGCGUAGACGGUUUUGCAAGUCUGAAGUGAAAGCCCGGGGCUUAACCCCGGGACUGCUUUGGAAACUGUAGGACUAGAGUGCAGGAGAGGUAAGUGGAAUUCCUAGUGUAGCGGUGAAAUGCGUAGAUAUUAGGAGGAACACCAGUGGCGAAGGCGGCUUACUGGACUGUAACUGACGUUGAGGCUCGAAAGCGUGGGGAGCAAACAGGAUUAGAUACCCUGGUAGUCCACGCCGUAAACGAUGAUUACUAGGUGUUGGUGGGUACGACCCAUCGGUGCCGCAGCAAACGCAAUAAGUAAUCCACCUGGGGAGUACGUUCGCAAGAAUGAAACUCAA